GAUUGAUUCUACAAGGCCCUAGGGUCUAUAUUUAUACUCUGCUCAAAGAGCUACAACCAGACAUGAUUAGAAUUCGAAUUCCAAAUUACACGGAAUCCGUAUACAAAACGAUGCAAAUAAUUAAGGAAAUAACAAAACUAUCCCUCGUAACAAACCGAAACUCCUCCACAUAACGACCGGCAGCUUCCAGACUCCUCCUUUGCAUCAUCGGCAGAUCCUUUGCCAUAGUCAUCGGC
rnacentral:lncRNA from 1 species